rnacentral:telomerase_RNA from 1 species
GUGGGGGUGUGGGGCAGGGAGUAAUCUCGGUAACUUCAAACCCUAAACCACGCCUCGGUUCGGGGUAUAACAACAGGGGGGGUCUUUCUCUGGUGCUUCCCCCGUGUGGUCAAAAAAAGAAGCACCAAUGCUCUACGAGUUACUACUCCCAGUGGCUUUCCUUCCCUCACUGUCCCUCAAGAGGAGUAGCAGGCCGGGCUGGGUGCGUUAGCUCACGUGCUAACAGCUAUCAGGUCCUCGCCUCUUGGCCACCCCCAACUCCU